CCACCUGGACAGUUAGGGGUGGCAGCAGGGCCCCCCAGCAUUUACUCCAGCAGCCAGGGCGUAUUUGCUUGGGUGGGGGAAUGGAGCCCUCUAGAAAGGUAGGUGUUAGCAUUAACACCUCAUUGAGAAAGAUGGGGUAGUUCACACCUCUCAGAGCUAUUGUUUCAGGCUGUCCGCAGACUCAGGCACACAUCACUGCAUCAGAUAAGCUUGAGUCACAUUUUUGUUUUCCUUGACAAUCAGGAGGGAUAGAAUCUUUUUUUUUUAAAUGAACACUAGGAUUCUGGUGCAAUCACAUGACUCCAGCAUCUGGGUCCAAAAACAUGGGCCUCUAGUGCCUAUACCCUAAUCCAGCUCUGACCUCUCCACUACCUCUGUGCUCUGUUAUUUUUGAAAUCAUCAUCUCACCAAACCCACACAUCCAGGCUGUGAUAAAAUCUUGCUGCUUCUUCCUCAUAACAGUUCUACAACCCACCCUUUCUUUUCUAUCCAGGUAGCUAACAUCAUCAUCUACACCCUCAUCAUCUCUAGUUUUGGUUAUUGCAGCUUCCCUUGCUCUGGCCUCCCUAAUGAGCAUAUUGUUCCUAUCUCAUCCUUAGAAAAGCAGCUGCUAAGAUCAUCUCAUCACUCUGACCACGUCACCAUCCUUGUUGGAAUCCCUCCACCCAUAACAAGCUCAAGAUUUUUGUUAAAAGAAAAGGAGGACUUGUGGCACCUUAGAGACUAACAAAUUUAUUUGAGCAUAAGCUUUCGUGAGCUACAGCUCACUUCAUCGGAUGCAUUCAGUGGAAAAUACAGUGGGGAGAUUUUUUGUUGUAACCUUCAAAGCCCUUCACAACUCUGCCCUUCCCCAUUUAUCCCCUCUAACUACUUCUUGCAUUGCCCCCGUCCUCUCCACUCCACCAAAAAUGUUGGUCUUGAAUGUUGCGCACUUGUCUACUCCUCCCACAAACUUUCAUUUCACCCUGCCUCUUAUGAAUGAAAUGCCCUCCCGGAACAGAUCUAGAAGACACUCACUCCCCUUCAAAUCCAUUUGCAUGAGCCACUUCUGCCACAAUGCUUACAAGAAAUGGGUCAUAGCUAAGUUGGGGGGGGAGAGGGGGCAGCAGAGGGAGGUGGAUGAGGGACAGUUGUGGAAAUUGAUAUUUAUGUAUUUACAAAGCAAUGCAAAAUAAUAUGCCUAUAUAAAAUAUUUAUAUAUGUAACAAUUGUAUGUAUUUGCUUAUCUCCCUCAUCCACAUGGCAUAUGUUGCUUAUUCUCUUCUACUAUUAGAUCUUAGGGGUAGGGACUGGCAACAAAUAUCAGCGAUGGAUUUGUAUAAAGUGCACAGACACUGUACCUGAGUUUGUGGCAGAGCUGUGAAUAGCUAUGAACAGACAGUUUGUCUGUUUGUAGAUAUCUCGUCUCUGAUUUCCAUGGCAAUUUCUUUAAGAUGCUAAUGCAAUGUAGCCACAAAUAAAGAAACAAAGGAGAGUGCAAGAAUGAGCUGAUUGAGUGGACUAUGCUGAAAAGACUCACUCUUCAGAAAAAUUCAUUCUCAGUAGAAUUCCUUCUACACCAGUGAAGUUAUGCCAAGGAUGAAUUUAGCUCCUUGUCCUUGGGGCCUUGUCUACCCGAGGAAAUUUGUUACUUGUGCUAGUAACAGUGUAAGCCCAAGUGUAGACUGGGUGCGUGUGUUUUUACUGGCUAAUCCUCUGCUGAGUCCCCUGGGAGAUAUCACUUCUUAAACACAUGAUCCCAAAGCUACUGACCCCGUGGCAGCAACCACUAGUGCACACCUCUAAAUCUGAACUUUUUUUUUGUUUAAAUAUUUUUUUCCACUUGAAAUUGGCUUUUUGAUUAAAUGGACAUUUUUGAAAAAAAACCACAAAACUCUCAUCAAAAAUUGUUUAAUUUCUCAAAAAAAACCUUUUGGUUUUCUGCAACUGAAACCAAAAAAUAUUUGGUUAAAAACUACAAAAACCUCACUCCACCCCCUUCUCUGGCCUUCGGGUUUAAUCUAGUUUUACCUAUGUUCCUUACCCCUUCCUAGACCUCAGACCAUGCUUUAACAUGUACCUACCUUUUAAACACAUGAAUUGUCCCAUUGAUUUCAGUGGGACUAAUUGUGUGUUUAAAGUUAGGUAUGUUUAGGGUGACCAUAUUUCCCUAAAGCAAAAACGGGACACCGCGCAGGACUGGCCCAAGCUGCCUGGGGUCACUGGCCAUGCUUUUGGGCCACCCCCCAGAAUGUUCCUCCACACCCCCCAUUGAAAAUUGGGCGAUUUGUCCCAUUUGCUCUUGCCAACUGAUGAUCAGCUGGCAAGAGCAAAUGGGACAAAUGCCCAGUUUUGAAAAAAAGUUGGGAUGUCCAGGACAGGACUUAAAAAGGGGACUGUCUCGCCCAAAAAGGGAUGUCUGGUCACCCUAGGUAUGUUCCUAUAUAAUUUUCUAAACUGGGGGCAUUAUCAGCAAAACACUACAGUCAGUAUACCUCGUAAGGCCCCCAUAAUCUGUUAUCAAAGAACGGAAGAAAUGUGCUAGUUACCUAGCAUGUGGACACAUGUAAAUAAUUAAACGUUUUAACUGGAGUCACCUGGCUGUAACGAAGGACAAUCAUUUACUCAAAUAUGAAAAGAGCCAUCCUAGUGUGCCAGGCAAACCCCUAUUUUACAAGCUGUGUAAGGAAUGGAAGAAAAAUAAGUUCAAAGUGAACAGACAUGAAGAAACAAUAUGGAGAUUUCCACAAAUUAGGGCCCCACCUACACUACAAUUGUGGCCAAGUAACAGAACUCAGUCAAAAUAUAAUUGUCCCUUGACCCAGUUACAAUAUGGAUAAAUUUUGUAGUGUAACUGGGACCAAACUGGUUUCAGAGUAACAGCCGUGUUAGUCUGUAUUCGUAAAAAGAAAAGGAGUACUUGUGGCACCUUAGAGACUAACCAGUUUAUUUGAGCAUGAGCUUUCGUGAGCUACAGCUCACUUCAUCGGAUGCAUCCCUAAGAUCAGAAUAAAGCUUUGGCUUUUACAGGGUCUGAAUCCACUUAUUGGGACCAGGAGAGGGCUUUUCACCAUGUUGUAUCACAUUAUAGUUGCAGCACAGAUCAGUUCCAAAAAAACCCAGGCUGAAAAUACUCCCAUAGUAAUUUAUCAAAUAAUUGAAUAUAUAAAGAACCUGAAAAUUAGAGAUCAGGCCAUAUCAUCAGAUUGAGCAACCAAAGGUUCAUUAGUUCUUAUAACAGGCAAUGACACAAACAAUUAAUGGAUCACUGAAGAAUCAGGGAACUGCUCUGUCAUAAAUUCCUACCCAUGUCUAUUAAAUCCAAUAAUAAUAACCAAACUAAUGCGGACUGAUAAGACUUUAUGUUCUACUAACACUCUCUCACUUAUAUGAAAAAGUGAAUAAUUUGUUAAUUCCUUAAACAAUGUUUUUAGGUGCAUUUUAAACAAGUUCUCCAUUAAAAUCAUUUGACAAAGAUUGUAUGUUUAAUGACGAAGUUGCUAGUUGUGAAAAUACAAUGUAUUCCCACAAGAAAACAUUUAACUGCUGUACAUCUAUAUUUUAAAAUGAAAUACAAAGGACAAGAAUGGAAAUAAAAAGGGUGGUAUUUAAUUUUGCUUUCAAUCUGAGGGCAGUUGUAAUUCAAUUUAUUAUUUUUUAAACUGAAAAUUAAGAUGCCUAGAUGGCUUUUUUGCAAAUUUUAUCCACUGGGUUAAGUUUAAUGUGUUUUUAAAUAUUGCCUAGCCUGAAGAGAGUCUUAAGCAAGUUGAUUGUUUUCAUCUGGCAAAAAUAAAUAAAUAAAAGCUUUAAAAAAUGCAAAAGAAGUGUGAGCUGUAUGUCUAUAUUAGUAGAGAUCAUUUGAGCAUAUGCAAGAGGAGAAAGGUUGAAAUAAAAUCUCAAUUAUAACCCACUCUAAAUGCUUUACAAUUUUGCUUGUAGCUUGAAUCAUGUAUUUUCAGUAACACCAGUUUUAGUCAGUCUCACUUAUACUGCUUUUUUUAACUAGCACACACACACACAAAUAGAUGUUAGAUACCCCUCUCCUUCCCCUCUCCCAACAUUCUGGAAGAGACUCAUUGUCUCUCCACAACUAAUAGGCUCUCUGCAGAUCCUGUCUCUUCCGCUGGCUCUCUAAGCAACACACUUUAAACAAUCACAUUUUAGCUUCUGAGCCUCCUGUCUGGAGCAUGCUUAGUCAUUCUUCCUGGCCUGUGUACUCACCAUCCCUACCAUAUGGAUAGAAUAACCUACAGACUUCACUUCUGCUUGUGAAUGUGGAAUUGUAAAGCAGAGCCACGUUUGACCUCUUUCCAGUUUUCCACCUGUUAGUUAUCCUGAAAAGAAGAUGGAAAUAUCUGGGACAUGUGUUAAGAAGAAAGGCAGAGCAUCUGUCACAGCAGGUGUCCCAUUGAGCAGCUGGAGAAACAUGUAAAUGGGGCCAACCGAAAGAAUCCCUCUGUCAAACUGUACUUAAGGAGGGCAGAACUAUUUUUAAAUGAACAUGAGCCAGAAGAGACUGCCAUAACCGCUCACUGCCAUCCAGUGAUGGAUCCUGGCCUUCCCUGAUGUAAAAACAACAGUAAUGUGUGCACUAUUUCUUCUGUGUUUACAUUUUCUGAGGCAGGCUAUUUGGAAUAAUGAAUUAGCAGAAAUUAUUUAUUUUCAGUGUGUGAAGUGUCAAGGUCAAAGCCUAACCAACCCUUCACUAGCAUCCCACUAAUUACAAUGAAAAUAAUUGCUUCUUUUCUCAUCAAUAACUAUUGAUUUCUAAGAGUACAGGAUUUUACAUGAGUCCGUGCACUGGUGUUCAUAAUGAGCUCUACACCAAGCUAGCCAUGUCACAAGCCUGAGUGUUACUUGAAAACUGACCUUUAAUGAUUAAACAAUAAAUUAAAAUACACUGAAAAAAAAUUCUCACUUACACAUUUUGAAAACUACAUCAACUAAUCUCCAUUUUGGUGGGAAAAGAGAGGGCAUCAGCGGAUGUGGGGAUCAUUAUGAUAAGUUUGGACGAUAAGAGAGCCAAAUUUCUGCCUUGAAAAUUCAGUAUGAAAAUUUUUUAUAUAUAAAGGACAAAACGUGGCCUAUAGUUAAUAAAACACCUAGCCUCAGGAGCACCAGAUAUGCUAAUAUAAGUUGGGCAUUAGUUGAUUUAACUCUUUAACCAAUUUUCAGCCUCAUUGCUCUACCUUUUACUUAGUAAUUACCUAAUGCCUGAGCUUUUACUAAUGACUGAUUUAAAAUUUGUCUGUGGGCUAAAUAUAUUGUAACAAAUCUAUGACCACCUAGGGUUUCACAUUUGUCACUAGACUGCACACCACUGGCAUUUAGAUUUUCAAGUCAAAAAAACAAAUCCUCCUAUUCCUAAAACAGGCCCCCAGAAUUAAUGAGGAAUCACUGUCUGCAGAAUAGCACUUAUGACACACAUUCUAGAAGUUCAGAUUCAAUCCAGUGAAGGGCAUACACACUAGUCAAUUAAUUAUAAUGCUUUUUAUAGAAAAAGCUUACUAAAUCUUUCAGUAUAUAGACUUUCCCUUCAGUCUUUAAAAUCCUCUAAAAUUCAGUGGGGCCACAAUGUUGCCCCACUGAAGUCAAUGGCAAAAAAACAACAGUCAGGGUAGCUAAACACUGGAAUAAUUUACUUAGGGUUCUGGUGAAUUCUCCAUCACUUUGUCUUCAAAUCAUGACUGGAUAUCUUUCUAUAUGCUAUAGCUCCAACAGAAGUUAUGGGAUUGACAUAGUAAUUACUGGGUGGAGCUUUUUGAUCUGUGUUAUUAGAGCUGAUCGGAAUAUUUUUAUUAAAACGGUGGGUUUUUUUUGAAAAAGCUGUUUUGAUUAAACCAUUUUUGGACAAAUUUUGACAAAGUUUCUCAUGAAAGAAAAACAUUUAGAAACUCCCUCCCCCCAGAAAAUGACCAAGUUUAGUUUCAAUUUUUUUUUUUUUAAUCAUGUACAUCUGAUUUUUAUUACUUUUGCAUUGUUUCAUGACAUGUCAGCAUGAUUAGUCUGGACAUACCACAAUUGACAUAAUAGUUGAAAUAAUACAAGUGUCAAACUAUUUCAUUACAACACAAACAGGAGUCACUUUGAUCUAGAAAAGAAGAUGUUUCAAUGAGUACAAAGUAGCAGCUGCCUUUAAUGAUUUUAAAAACAAAAUAAAUUAAAAAUACAGUGUUUCAACUACCACAUCAUGAGAUACAGCAGUAGUAGUGCACGUAUAUUAUGCAGGUCAACUAUUAACGUGUCAUGAAAUAAUGUAAAGAUAAUAAAACCGAGAUGAAAAACCCAUAAAAUGAAAAAUUUGAAAUGAAGUUUUCCCCAAAUGAAACUUCUAAAUUUCAACCAGCUCUACAUGUUAGGCAAGAACUCAGACUAGGUAAUCAAAAUGGUCCCUUCUGGCCUUAAAAGCUAUGCAUCUGUGACUUCAGUGGGAGCAGAAUUUCACCCAAUAAAUAUAUCAAUUAUGAGAAAUCAGAUAUUAGCCUUUUCUCUUACUGCCCCAUAGCACUGAUUAUACUCUCAGGGAAAUUCUCAGCCAGUCAAACCAUGGAGCUGUAUCACUGCAUUACAACUCCAGAACAUAACUGCUUGGAUGACACCUUGUUCAGUACAUCCCACUCCUCUCCCACCCCAGAUCCUUGAUUCCCCUUUUUUAGAACUGAGUUAGAGGAAUGUGGAAUAGACUAAGUCUAACCUUCUCUUGUGUAUCUUACUCCGUUUGUGGCCCUAACCAACAACUACAACCGAUAGAUUUCCAGGUCAGCAUCACUUAAAGUAGGACAUGAAUCGAAAGGUGCUGACAACUAGACUCAGCACUAGGGAGUGGCAAGCACAAGGGCUGAACAAGCACACAUGGGGUUCAUUCUAGUUUAUAGUAUAUUUUUAAUUGGGUUAGCGUGUGUAAUGGUGCUGUUUAAUGGAGAACGAUUGAAGACGAUACCCUGACCUUCUUGGUAAUAAGCAAGAUCUCUCAUGAGGAUAAAUUAUUUGGCCUUCUAGUUUAUCCAUUUGGGAACCAUAUUACUGCCUCAGAAAAAGAGCUACCUGUCCUAUUAUCCUUUAACUAAUAAGAACUGCAAAAUCCUAUUCAAACUACUAGCCAUCCAGCUUGAUAAAAUACCCGUUCAUCCAACCAGAUCAAGCUGGAUUUAUAAGUAUUUACAUGCCCUCAAGUAAUCUUUAAAGACCAUAUUGUUCAUUGUUCUCUGUAAUAUAAGAAAAACAUUCUUCAUUUCUUUGGAUGCCGAAAAGGCAUUCAAGGGGAUACAAUGGCCCUUCAUGUUCAGAGGCUUGCAUUAGUUUAGUUGCUUUAUUGAAGAGACAACCCUGUGACUGUGAGGGUAUAUCUGAUUUUGGCUGAUGUCAAUACUGACUGUUGAUUAUGUGUAUGUCACCUUACUUACAUAAAUUGUACAAUCAAUCAAUCCAAAAAGCUAUGUUACUGCCAACUAUAAUUCAGAAUUUAAAGUAACAAAAAUCAGGACAUUCAAAGUCACAGUGUACUUCCAAAAGCCACAGCAGCAUGGGCCCUUGUGCUUACAUAGUGUUUAAUAUUACUGAAUACACUGUUAGGUUUAUACCCUACAUGACAGAGCUUCUUCUCGGACUUGGUGGGUCCCACGCUUCUGUUUAGCAGCGGGCUAGGGUAUUCCGCUCUCUGUCAGAAUUUUCCCCACACCCCUGGGCUUGCUGUCCACACCCCCCGCCGGAGCAGGGUUCCUCCCAGCUUCCCUGACAGGGAGAGGGAAGGGGAGCCUCUCAGUCUCUGGUAGCCCCUCCAGGCAUGGUGAUAAUAGACCCAACAGUCACUUCAGUCUCUCCCCUCUGGCGGGGUCUCUUCCCGCAGCCCUCUGGGGCCCAGAAGGAGCAUCCGCCACAUUGAGCGGGGAUUCUCCCGCUCUUUGCCUCUGUACCUGUGUGGUUUCUCUCCUGGUGGUUGUCAGCAUCUGCACUGCCCAACUCUCCAGUAGCUCACCUUCCUCCCUCAGCUCGUAUUACAUGCCCCUAUCUGGAUGGAGGGGAGGCUUUUAACAGGUUCUGGCAGGCCCUUGAUUGGCCCCAGGUGUCCUAAUUAACCUAGAGUAACCUCUGUUCAGUUACCAAGGGAAAAGGGACCUGCUUAUCCUGGGGCUAAUAUACCUGCCGUCUGCCACUUUCAUGUUGCCAUCUGGCCUGUCCCCGUCACACCUAAUAAAAACCAGUGCUAGAAAUCAUAGUGAUGGGUAUAAUAUAAAUGUCUAGGCAGAUGGAACAUUUAUGAAGUAUGCAGAGUUAUGUUCAAUUUGUCCACCCUCUCCAGAAUGAUGAUGAUCUGAAGAGUAUGUACAAAUUGAAUAAAUGGGAUAACACAACCUUCAGAACUGAAGAUCAUACUAUAUGAUGGUUUUGCAAGUUAAUGGGAGUUUUGUCUGAGACUGGAUGGCAGGUUCAGCCCUAACUUAUGUACAUGAUAAAUGCUUCCUAGUUCACACACUGGCUUUAAAAAAAAAAAGCGAGCGCAAAAGGCAGUGUUUACAACUGUGUGAUGUAUUACUGUAUAGAGCUAACUGGGAAUUUUUCACUGAAAUGUUUGUCGGUUUGAUUAAUCGGCCUUUUCCAACAAAGACUUUUUGUGGAAGCAUACUGCUUUUGACAGGACGAUUUCUCAAGUCCAGGAUGAAAUCUCUGUCAAAACCAGCAAAGGGAGAGAGGGACCACAGAAUAGCCAACAACACAGUGAUUGGAGUACUUACCUGGGUUCUGGGAGAUCUAGGUUUAACUCCCUUCUCUGCCUAAAUCAGUGCUCUAACCACCAGGCUACAGUCUCAGCCCCACUCUCUGGCCCAGUGAAUAUUUAAUAAUUUACACAGAGUGGCUGAGACAGAGAGAGUCAGUGUAGGGACUUGAAAUUGUGUUUUCUACAUCCCAGGGGAGUGCCCUAAUCAGUGGGCUAACUGGCCACCCCAGAGUCUCUUGGUCCCUUGUUUUUUCAUGAAAAGUUCUCAGGGUCUCAGUUUAGUCCCAGUGCAGAACAAAACCAAAUGCCAAAACCUCAAAAGUUUUCAGGAAACUGAAUUCUUGUUUUCCAGCCAGCACUACUACUGAAAUCUACAGCUGAGAUGGGAGGGGAGCAAAGGGCUAGGUGUUAUCAGACAGUACUAACUAAGGCACUGUGACCCAGCCUGCUGCUCCUGUAGAGAGACACCUUGUCCACCUGCAAGGAUCACAAUGCAGGAUCAGAGCCUGCAUGAAUGAAUGUGUGAAGUUAUUCUUUGAUGGGCAUGAACUAUGUUAUAGCCGUUAUAUGUGGGUAUUUAAUGUUAAUGUUUUGGUGAUGUGAUUAAAUGUGGGUGAAUAUACUCCAUUAAGGUAAUGACUCUAUACUAAUGGGCUUAAAGGAAUCAUUAUCAAAGGCCCCCAACUGUUUCAUAAUUCAUGUUUAUGUUUUCGUGAGGUGAUUCAAUUUAGAUGAAUACACAUCAUUAAAUUAAUAGUUGGAUAUUAAAAACCUUAAGGGAAACAUUACCAGUGGGUCAGGACUAUUUUGAAUCAGGUCACAGAAAGUUUUAUGCCAUUUUAUUAUUAUUUUUAAUUAUAUACUAACAAAAAAAAUCUAAAUGGAUUUUGGUAUCCUCCUGAAUGACUACUGGCUACAUAUAUAUAUAUAUAUAUAUAUAUAAAUAAAUAAACAGAUUCAAAUGGCAAAUGAGAAAACUGGUUAAACUGUAAUUUAACAAUACAGUAAGGAGAUGUGUAGUUUUAAUGGAAGUGUAUGCUUUCUUGACAAUUACUGUAUCUCCUUUCACAUUUGAAAAUAAGAAGAGAAAGAGAGCUUCAAGUUUUCUAAACAUGCUUUAAACAAUCAUCUUGUCAAACGACAAAAUAGAUUCUGCAGUCUUUUGCUACAGGAGGACAACAAUGGCCAAAUGGAGUUUCAUUUAUGCAACUUCAAUUAUUAAAGCAACUAUUUAUCAGGAUUUAACAAGCAACCUGGUUUUGGAGCAGAAGAAGAGAUCUAAUGUGCUCUGUGAUCUGAGAUGUCAAAUACAAGAGUAUUUGGUCUGUGUGGAACCAUAAUAAGGGCCUGAUCCAAAGCCCAUUCAACUCAAUGGAAAUACU